GACGAACGCUGGCGGCGUGCCUAAUACAUGCAAGUAGAACGCUGAAGGAGGAGCUUGCCCUUCUGGAUGAGUUGCGAACGGGUGAGUAACGCGUAGGUAACCUGCCUGGUAGCGGGGGAUAACUAUUGGAAACGAUAGCUAAUACCGCAUAAUAGUAGAUGUUGCAUGAUAUUUACUUAAAAGGUGCAAUUGCACCACUACCAGAUGGACCUGCGUUGUAUUAGCUAGUUGGUGGGGUAACGGCUCACCAAGGCGACGAUACAUAGCCGACCUGAGAGGGUGAUCGGCCACACUGGGACUGAGACACGGCCCAGACUCCUACGGGAGGCAGCAGUAGGGAAUCUUCGGCAAUGGACGAAAGUCUGACCGAGCAACGCCGCGUGAGUGGAGAAGGUUUUCGGAUCGUAAAGCUCUGUUGUAAGAGAAGAACGAGUGUGAGAGUGGAAAGUUCACACUGUGACGGUAUCUUACCAGAAAGGGACGGCUAACUACGUG
rnacentral:rRNA from 1 species